CCAGACUCCUACGGGAGGCAGCAGUGGGGAAUAUUGGGCAAUGGGGGAAACCCUGACCCAGCGACGCCGCGUGAGGGAUGAAGGUCUUCGGAUCGUAAACCUCUGUCAGCAGGGAAGAACGGUCACUGUGCUAAUCAGCAGUGAAUUGACGGUACCUGCAAAGGAAGCACCGGCUAACUCCGUGCCAGCAGCCGCGGUAAUACGGAGGGUGCGAGCGUUAAUCGGAAUUACUGGGCGUAAAGCGCUCGUAGGCGGUAUGUCAAGUCAAGGGUGAAAUCCCGGGGCUCAACCCUGGGACUGCUCUGGAAACUGUAAAGCUGGAGUGCGGGAGGGGCAGGCGGAAUUCCUGGUGUAGCGGUGAAAUGCGUAGAUAUCAGGAGGAACACCGGCGGCGAAGGCGGCCUGCUGGACCGUAACUGACGUUGAGGCUCGAAAGCGUGGGGAGCAAACAGGAUUAGAUACCCCUGUAA
rnacentral:rRNA from 1 species